rnacentral:rRNA from 1 species
AUUGAACGCUGGCGGCAGGCCUAACACAUGCAAGUCGAGAGAGAGGAGGACGGGAGCGUAAUGUAUGGGGACUGCACGAUAAAGUGGGAUCACUACUGGAAAAGGAGGCUAAUACCGCAGAGUGUCGGAUAACCAAUAUGGGAGUAGGUAUUAGGUAAGGGAAUGGAUUAACUAGGCGACGAUCCCUAGAUGGUGUAAGAGGAUGAUCAGCCACACUGGGACUGAGACACGGCCCAGACUCCUACGGAGGCAGCAGUGGGGAAUAUUGCACAAUGGGCGCAAUCCUGAUGCAGCCAUGCCGCGUGUAUGAAGAAGGCCCUAGGGUUGUAAAGUACUUUCAGUCGGGAGGCGUUACCGACAGAAGAAGCACCGGCUAACUCCGUGCCAGCAGCCGCGGUAAUUC